rnacentral:rRNA from 1 species
UAAGACGAACUGUCCAAACGUUGUUCGGAAUCACUGGGCUUAAAGGGCGCGUAGGCGGUCGAUCAAGUCAGGGGUGAAAUCCUGCAGCUUAACUGUAGAAGUGCCUUUGAUACUGGUCGUCUCGAGGGAGGUAGGGGUGUGUGGAACUUCCAGUGGAGCGGUGAAAUGCGUUGAUAUUGGAAGGAACGCCGGAGGCGAAAGCGACGCACUGGACCUCUUCUGACGCUGAG